CCACUGGGAAAGUCUAUAAAUAUAUUUUUAUUUAAUUUAACAUCUUAAAAAAAAACUAGAUAUACACUUGACAGAAAAUAUAUACAAUUACAAGCACAAAAAUAUGUUGUGUCUCUGGUAUCAUUAUAUACACUUGACAGAAAAUAUAUACAAUUACAAGCACAAAAAUAUGUUGUGUCUCUGGUAUCAUUGUUUACAUUUGUCAGUACUGCUUAUUUUCCUUUGUAAUGUGAUCAAAAUGAGUGUCCACCACAAAGUGUUUAAAAACAAAUAUUUUCAAUGAGAACUGAAGAAAUAUCAUGAGCACUGCAGUGUUUCUCAUUGCAGCAUCAGCUUUAAUCUUCACGGAAAGCUUCCCAGUGAUUUUGCGGUGGUGAUGGUGAUGGUGGUGGUGGUGAUGGUGAUGAUAGUGGUGGUGGUGGUGAUGGUGGUGGUUAUGGUGUUUAUGGUGAUGAUGGUGGUGAUGGUAGUGAUGGUGAUGAUGGUGGUGAUGGUGGUGGUGGUUUUGGUGAUGGUGGUGAUGGUGGUGGUGGUUUUGAUGAUGGUGGUGGUGAUGGUGGUGGUUUUGAUGACAGUGGUGGUGAUGGUGGUGGUCAUAUAUGUAGAAGAGUUUGUGCAAGUAGUCCAUUGUAUCCUACUGGACUUGGGAGAUAUGAUUUUUCUCAUUUCCUGUUAUAACAGAUGAUGUCUUUCAUGGCUGUGUGGAGAAGAAGGGAUGCACUGAGCUGUGGGUCUCUGCUGGUUCAGUCUCCUCCACUGAGAGUUUAACACCUAGGAACAGAGAAACUGGACUUUUAAUAAGACAUUUUAGUUAAAAAAAUUGAUAUAAAGAACUUCAUUUGACAAUACUGCAUAUCCAUGCGUAUAAUUACUACAACAAAAUUACUCAAAUGUAAUAUCAAAUGUAAAUCAACAGACCUUCUUCUGACUCUGCUGAGCCCUCUGUCACUGCAUCGCCAUCAUGACUCUCUUCUAGAGCCAAGAAUUGUGAAGAAUAUGUUUAAAAAAUGAUAAAAUAUAUUUACAUGAAUAUAUUCAUUAUACGAAUUGUGCUAAUUAAUAUUGUUAAUUCAUUAAACAAAUUAACUUAAUUACCAUAUACUUAAAUGUAAAUAAAUUACAAAAGCACAAAUAAAUUAAUUGAUUAAUUAAGGAAAUUAAUUAACCAAAUACAUUAUAUGGUUUUAUAAUUGAUUGAAUUGUGCACUACUACUUGGUUAGUUAAU
ensembl:lncRNA